GAUGAACGCUGGCGGCAUGCCUAAGACAUGCAAGUCGUACGAAGUAGCCCAAAGAAGUGGAGUGCUUGCACGAAGCGGACUUGGAUCACUACUUAGUGGCGGAAGGGUGAGUAACACGUGGGUAAUCUGCCUCAGAGACUGGGAUAACUACUAGAAAUGGUAGCUAAUACUGGAUGAGAGAUAGAAAGAUACGUUUUUCUAUAGUAAAAGAAGCCUUAAAGCUUCACUUUGAGAUGAGCCUGCGGCGUAUUAGCUAGUUGGUGGGGUAAAGGCCUACCAAGGCGACGAUCAGUAGGGGUUCUGAGAGGAAGGUCCCCCACAUUGGUACUGAGACGCGGGCCAAAACUCCUACGGGAGGCAGCAGUGAGGAAUAUUGGUCAAUGGACGGGAGUCUGAACCAGCCAAGUCGCGUGAGGGAUGAAGGUCCUACGGAUUGUAAAACCUCUUUUGCCGGGGAGUAACGUCGCCCACGCGUGGGCGAGUGAGAGUACCCGGAGAAAAA
rnacentral:rRNA from 1 species